UAUAAGAGCACCUCCGUUUGUGAUCUGAGGAUUGAAUGGAUCAACAGCAAUACACGUAGAGUGUGAGCAAUAGUACCUGUCGUGAGUGAGAAUUUGUCCCUACCCACCUCCCCCCUCCCCGCCGCCAUCACUCUCUGUCCCACACGUGGUGAGAACCAGACUAAGUAAAGGCAGGGGGAGGGGAGGAGGGAGGUAUUAGUGCAACAAGGGCAAGGGCUCGAAUUCCCUCUCCACGUGUUCCUUCCUGUAGUGUGGCGUUCAGGCUCGGUUCCCCUCCAGGAGCAGCUCUGCCACAAAGGUGGGAGACGUCACGAACCCGCGGCCCGCUCAAGGCUUUUGGCUAUACUUAGACCUGGAGAUACACAGGAAGUCGGGAUGAUGAAAAAGUUCUGCAAGUGGAUGGUGAGGACAGUUGCACAACGUUUAGAAUGUACUUGAUGCCACCGAAUUGUAUUCUUGAAAAUGGGUAAAAUGGAGCCUCCUACAGCAGGGUGGUGAGCCCAGCACGAGGCAUUGGGCACUCCAUUCCAGCCAGGAGCCCCUGCCCGGGACACGUGCCCCCGCCUGUCCAGAGCUGAAGGCUGCCCAGCCUGUGGCUGCCUCUCUCUGACCUCUCUGCCUGCCUCCCACAGGUAA